ACUGAUGAGACACGUGGUAAUCCAGCAUUCCGAGGUGUUCUUACUGACUCCAGUGGACCUCUCACUGCCACUCUCACCUCACUGUCUGAGGCCUCCAUUGUAGAGGGUACUAUGGUGGAGUGUGUGGGAGAGAACUCACGAGAGGGUCCUCUCACUAUCACUGUGGCUGAUCCACCCUCUCCUCCACUCAACCCACGAGUAUCCUCCACUUUAAAUCAACCCAGUUCCUCUAAUAUCUCUCUGAAUUGGGACCCUCCUUCCUCUACUGGUGGUGUGUCCGUCAUGUAUGUCCUCACCAUCUCCCCAACACCUCUCUCCGAGUCACCAGUCACCGUGGAGACAACCUCUGCACAGAUCACUGUCCUAUAUAACAUUCCUUACAAUGUAACCACCAGAGCUGUCAACUGUGCUGGAAUGAGUCAAGAAGUCUAAUUGUGGAUCUUAUUUUGUGCCCCACACCGUCUACUGCUGCUGGUGUGACCAUCACCAACACACCUCCUGUCACUAUUGGUGGAUCCAUGCUCACCUUCACUUGCGGUGGACCCAAUGAAGUGAUAACCUCAACCUGUGGCAGUAGUGGGUGGUCUCCUGACCCUGGGACCUUCGACUGUGGCACCCCAG